UUAUGAUGGACUGUGAUGGGGAUGUGUAAGCCAAUAAACCUUUUGUUCGCCAAGUUGGUUUUCAUCAUGGCUAUUGUCACAGUAGCAGAAAGCACACUAAGAGGACAUCUCUGCUAAGCCAAGGCCUCAGACACUGUCUGAAGAGACUCGGACUUUUAGCUGUCGGUAGUGGUCUGCUUAGUUAACACAGUCCAAAGGUUUUUCCUCUUCAUUACAAGAUAACCCAGAGAUCCCUUUGUGAAUAACACAUCAAAAAGCCAGCCUGUUCCUGUUCUACACCUGGACCAUGACUCAUUCAAAUGCUGGAGACUCUAGGCCUCUGGUGUCCUCUAAAUAAAUGAGACCAGCAAAGAAUCCCAGAGAAGCAAAAGUAAAUUCUUUAAGAUAUAAUUUCUCUGCAUAACCCUGGCU